CGCAUGCGUAGUGUACUGGUCAGCACGCUCGGCUCGCAACCGAGAAGCUCCGGGUUCGAGUCCCGGGCGCAGCGA